rnacentral:rRNA from 1 species
UGGGGAAUUUUGGACAAUGGGCGAAAGCCUGAUCCAGCCAUGCCGCGUGAGUGAAGAAGGCCUUCGGGUUGUAAAGCUCUUUAGUCGGAAAGAAAGAGUCGCAAUGAAUAAUUGUGAUUUAUGACGGUACCGACAGAAAAAGCACCGGCUAACUACGUGCCAGCAGCCGCGGUAAUACGUAGGGUGCGAGCGUUAAUCGGAAUUACUGGGCGUAAAGGGUGCGCAGGCGGUUUUGCAAGUCAGAUGUGAAAGCCCCGGGCUUAACCUGGGAAUUGCGUUUGAAACUACAAGGCUAGAGUGCAGCAGAGGGGAGUGGAAUUCCAUGUGUAGCAGUGAAAUGCGUAGAGAUGUGGAAGAACACCGAUGGCGAAGGCAGCUCCCUGGGUUGACACUGACGCUCAUGCACGAAAGCGUGGGGAGCAAACA